rnacentral:rRNA from 2 species
AACCUGGGAACUGCAUUCGAAACUGGCAGGCUAGAGUCUUGUAGAGGGGGGUAGAAUUCCAGGUGUAGCGGUGAAAUGCGUAGAGAUCUGGAGGAAUACCGGUGGCGAAGGCGGCCCCCUGGACAAAGACUGACGCUCAGGUGCGAAAGCGUGGGGAGCAAACAGGAUUAGAUACCCUGGUAGUCCACGCCGUAAACGAUGUCGAUUUGGAGGUUGUGCCCUUGAGGCGUGGCUUCCGGAGCUAACGCGUUAAAUCGACCGCCUGGGGAGUACGGCCGCAAGGUUAAAACUCAAAUGAAUUGACGGGGGCCCGCACAAGCGGUGGAGCAUGUGGUUUAAUUCGAUGCAACGCGAAGAACCUUACCUGGUCUUGACAUCCACAGAACUUUCCAGAGAUGGAUUGGUGCCUUCGGGAACUGUGAGACAGGUGCUGCAUGGCUGUCGUCAGCUCGUGUUGUGAAAUGUUGGGUUAAGUCCCGCAACGAGCGCAACCCUUAUCCUUUGUUGCCAGCGGU